rnacentral:rRNA from 1 species
CAGACUGCGAGUGAUAAGAUCCGUAGUCGAAAGGGAAACAGCCCAGAUCACCAGUUAAGGUCCCCAAAUCUAUGCUAAGUGGAAAAGGAUGUGGAGUUGCGUAGACAACUAGGACGUUGGCUCAGAAGCAGCCAUCAUUCAAAGAGUGCGUAAUAGCUCACUAGUCGAGUGGCGCUGCGCCGAAAAUUUACCGGGGCUAAGCAUAGUACCGAAACUGUGGAUGCAUCGAAAGAUGCGUGGUAGGAGAGCGUUCUAAGUGCGGCGAAGGUUAACCGAGAGGAUAAUUGGAGCGCUUAGAAGUGAGAAUGCCGGUAUGAGUAGCGAAAGACAGGUGAGAAUCCUGUCCGCCGAAAGACUAAGGUUUCCUGGGGCAGGCUCGUCCGCCCAGGGUAAGUCGGGACCUAAGGCAAGGCCGAGAGGCGUAGUCGAUGGAUAACAGGUAGAAAUUCCUGUACUGUGUUUAAUCGUUAUGAGCGAUGGAGGGACGCAGGAGGUGAAACACGCAUCGAGCUGGAUCGAUGUUCAAGCAACAAGUGCGGUUAAGAGUCAAAUGCUUCUAACCAGCAACACGAGUUGUGAUGAGUAGCGAAGUAAUAGUAGCGAAGGUGAUGUAAUCACACUGCCAAGAAAAGCUUCUAGCCAGAGAGGACACACCCGUACCGCAAACCGACACAGGUAGUCGAGUGGAGAACACUAAGGUGAGCGAGAGAACUCUCGUUAAGGAACUCGGCAAAAUGACCCCGUAACUUCGGAAGAAGGGGUGCUGGCCACGAGAGUGGUUAGCCGCAGUGAAUAGGCCCAAACAACUGUUUAUCAAAAACACAGGUCUCUGCAAAAUCGUAAGAUGACGUAUAGAGGCUGACACCUGCCCGGUGCUGGAAGGUUAAGAGGAGAGCUUAGCGAAAGCGAAGGUUCGAAUUGAAGCCCCAGUAAACGGCGGCCGUAACUAUAACGGUCCUAAGGUAGCGAAAUUCCUUGUCGGGUAAGUUCCGACCUGCACGAAAGGUGUAAUGAUUUGGGCACUGUCUCAACGAGAGACUCGGUGAAAUUAUAAUACCCGUGAAGAUGCGGGUUACCCGCGACAGGACGGAAAGACCCCAUGGAGCUUCACUGUAGCUUGAUAUUGAGUAUCUUUUAAACAUGUACAGGAUAGGUAGGAGCCAAGGAAGGCAGGACGCUAGUUUUGCUGGAGGCAAUGUUGGGAUACUACCCUUGUUUGAAGGAUGCUCUAACCUCGACCUGUAAGCCAGGUCAGGGACAGUGUCAGGUGGGCAGUUUGACUGGGGCGGUCGCCUCCUAAAGUGUAACGGAGGCGCUCAAAGGUUCCCUCAGAAUGGUUGGAAAUCAUUCGCAGAGUGUAAAGGUAUAAGGGAGCUUGACUGCGAGAGAAACAGCUCGAGCAGGGACGAAAGUCGGACUUAGUGAUCUGGUGGUACCGUAUGGAAGGGCCAUCACUCAACGGAUAAAAGCUACCCUGGGGAUAACAGGCUUAUCUCCCCCAAGAGUUCACAUCGACGGGGAGGUUUGGCACCUCGAUGUCGGCUCGUCGCAUCCUGGGGCUGAAGUCGGUCCCAAGGGUUGGGCUGUUCGCCCAUUAAAGCGGCACGCGAGCUGGGUUCAGAACGUCGUGAGACAGUUCGGUCCCUAUCCGUCGUGGGCGUAGGAAAUUUGAGAGGAGCUGUCCUUAGUACGAGAGGACCGGGAUGGACGCACCGCUGGUGUACCAGUUGUUCCGCCAGGAGCAUCGCUGGGUAGCUAUGUGCGGAAGGGAUAAGCGCUGAAAGCAUCUAAGUGCGAAGCCCCCCUCAAGAUGAGAUUUCCUUUGCAAUAGCAGUAAGACACCUCAAAGACGAUGAGGUAGAUAGGCUGGGAG